rnacentral:rRNA from 1 species
GACGAACGCUGGCGGCGUGCCUAAUACAUGCAAGUCGAACGAACCGCGACUAAGUGCUUGCACUAAGUCAAGGUGAGUGGCGAACGGGUGAGUAACACGUGGGUAACCUACCUCAUAGUGGGGGAUAACAGUCGGAAACGACUGCUAAUGCCGCAUAGGACAUAGGAUCACAUGAUCCAGUGAGGAAAGGUGGCGCAAGCUAUCGCUAAGAGAUGGACCCGCGGUGCAUUAGCUAGUUGGUAGGGUAAAGGCCUACCAAGGCGAUGAUGCAUAGCCGACCUGAGAGGGUGAUCGGCCACAUUGGGACUGAGACACGGCCCAAACUCCUACGGGAGGCAGCAGCAGGGAAUCUUCCGCAAUGGACGCAAGUCUGACGGAGCAACGCCGCGUGAGUGAAGAAGGUCUUCGGAUCGUAAAGCUCUGUUGUUAGAGAAGAACAGCGCAUAGAGUAACUGCUAUGCGUGUGACGGUAUCUAACCAGAAAGCCACGGCUAACUACGUG